UGGGGAAUAUUGGACAAUGGGGGCAACCCUGAUCCAGCGAUGCCGCGUGAGUGAUGAAGGCCUUAGGGUUGUAAAACUCUUUCAGAUGGGAUGAUAAUGACAGUACCAUCAGAAGAAGCUCCGGCUAACUCCGUGCCAGCAGCCGCGGUAAUACGGAGGGAGCUAGCGUUGUUCGGAAUUACUGGGCGUAAAGCGUGCGUAGGCGGCCUAGCAAGUUGGGGGUGAAAUCCCGGAGCUUAACUCCGGAACUGCCUCCAAAACUGCUAAGCUAGAAUCCUGGAGAGGUGAGCGGAAUUCCUAGUGUAGAGGUGAAAUUCGUAGAUAUUAGGAAGAACACCAGUGGCGAAGGCGGCUCACUGGACAGGUAUUGACGCUGAGGUACGAAAGCGUGGGGAGCGAACAGGAUUAGAUACCCUGGUAGUCCACGCCGUAAACGAUGGGUGCUAGGUGUUGGGCAGCAUGCUGUUCAGUGCCGAAGCUAACGCGUUAAGCACCCC
rnacentral:rRNA from 1 species